UACAGAGGGUGCGAGCGUUGUCCGGAAUUACUGGGCGUAAAGCGCGCGCAGGCGGCUCUUUAAGUCUCGUGGUCAAAUGCCGGGGCUCAACCCCGAGCGUGCCGGGGAUACUGGAGGGCUGGAGACAGGUAGAGGCAAGCGGAAUUCCGGGUGUAGCGGUGGAAUGCGUAGAGAUCCGGAAGAACACCGGAGGCGAAGGCGGCUUGCUGGACCUGGUCUGACGCUGAGGCGCGAAAGCGUGGGGAGCGAACCGG
rnacentral:rRNA from 1 species